AAAAAGAACCUGAAACCGUGUACGUACAAGCAGUGGGAGCACAGGUUUACCUGUGUGACUGCGUACCUUUUGUAUAAUGGGUCAGCGACUUAUAUUCUGUAGCAAGGUUAACCGAAUAGGGGAGCCGGAGGGAAACCGAGUCUUAAUUGGGCGUUAAGUUGCAGGGUAUAGACCCGAAACCCGGUGAUCUAGCCAUGGGCAGGUUGAAGGUUGGGUAACACUAACUGGAGGACCGAACCGAC
rnacentral:rRNA from 3 species